rnacentral:rRNA from 1 species
UACGUAGGGGGCAAGCGUUGUCCGGAAUUAUUGGGCGUAAAGCGCGCGCAGGCGGCUCUUUAAGUCUGGUGUUUAAUCCCGAGGCUCAACUUCGGGUCGCACUGGAAACUGGGGAGCUUGAGUGCAGAAGAGGAGAGUGGAAUUCCACGUGUAGCGGUGAAAUGCGUAGAUAUGUGGAGGAACACCAGUGGCGAAGGCGACUCUCUGGGCUGUAACUGACACUGAGAAACGAAAGCCAGGGUAGCAAACGGG